GAAGGAUUUCCCUGGCUUUACUGCUGUGAAUCUGUAAAACCUGUCCUCUAGUGGAGAGAGAGAAGUCUUAACACCACUUCCAAAAGUGGCAGUAUGGAGUUUGCCCCUACUUGGCCACUCUUUCCACAGGGAAGCAACUUCUUUCAGAUCUGGUGUUUUGUUUAUGCAGCUACAUAUGAAGGGACAGCUGACAUUUGCAGACACCACUGACAUGUGUCUUGUAGUUAACAACCCUGAGCUACCACCCCAGCAGUGGCAUGAGACUUUCUCUAACCUUCAGUCCCUACGCUCCUUCAAGCACAGAAGAUGCCAGGUGUACAGAGCAGAAAUAGAAGUGUGUCUGGGUCCCUGUCAAAGACACCCCGAACAUCCUGUGAAUGUUUCUCUGUGGAAGAGCUGUAUUUCUGAGCAACAGGAACCAGUAUGUUUUGAUCAUCAGAGUCUUCAGCAGAUGGCCUGUAAGAAGUCUGAAGAUGUGCGGCUGCUUCCUUGUCAGCACUCUGCUGGGCUUUCAGCUUUUCCUCCCUCUUUGCCCUUUUCCACCUCUCCUGGAUGAGCAGUAACUGUUUCAUAUGACUAUCCCUUUGUAAUUCCAGUGAUAGCUGAGCCUGAGUAAAAACAAGAUUAAACAAUUUAGUUGGUGA